UACGUAGGUGGCAAUCGUUAUCCGGAAUUAUUGGGCGUAAAGAGCGCGCAGGUGGUUAAUUAAGUCUGAUGUGAAAGCCCACGGCUUAACCGUGGAGGGUCAUUGGAAACUGGUUGACUUGAGUGCAGAAGAGGGAAGUGGAAUUCCAUGUGUAGCGGUGAAAUGCGUAGAGAUAUGGAGGAACACCAGUGGCGAAGGCGGCUUCCUGGUCUGCAACUGACACUGAGGCGCGAAAGCGUGGGGAGCAAACAGG
rnacentral:rRNA from 1 species